rnacentral:rRNA from 1 species
AGAUCAUGGACUCAGAGCGAACGUUGGCGGCAGGCUUAACACAUGCAAGUCGAGCAGGCGUAGCAAUACGUCAGCGGCAGACGGGUGAGUAACGCGUGGGAACGUACCUUUUGGUUCGGAACAACUGAGGGAAACUUCAGCUAAUACCGGAUAAGCCCUUACGGGGAAAGAUUUAUCGCCGAAAAGAUCGGUCCGCGUCUGAUUAAGCUAGUUGGUGAGGGUAAUGGCUCACCAAGGCGACGAUCAGUAGCUGGUCUGAGAGGAUGAUCAGCCACAUUGGGGACUGAGACACGGCCCAAACUCCUACGGGAGGCAGCAGUGGGGAAUAUUGGACAAUGGGCGAAAGCCUGAUCCAGCCAUGCCGCGUGAGUGAUGAAGGCCCUAGGGUUGUAAACCUCUUUUAGUAGGGAAGAAGCGCAAGUGACGGUACCUGCAGAAAAAGCACCGGCUAACUACGUGCCAGCAGCCGCGGUAAUACGUAGGGUGCAAGCGUUGUCCGGAAUUAUUGGGCGUAAAGAGCUCGUAGACGGCUUGUCGCGUCUGCUGUGAAAACCCGAGGCUCAACCUCGGGCUUGCAGUGGGUACGGGCAGGCUAGAGUGCGGUAGGGGAGAUUGGAAUUCCUGGUGUAGCGGUGGAAUGCGCAGAUAUCAGGGAGGAACACCAAUGGCGAAGGCAGAUCUCUGGGCCGUAACUGACGCUGAGGAGCCGAAAGCGUUGGGGAGCGAACAGGAUUAGAUACCCUGGGUAGUCCACGCCGUAAACGUUGGGAACUAGAUGUAGGGACCAUUCCACGGUUUCUGUGUCGCAGCUAACGCAUUAAGUUCCCCGCCUGGGGAGUACGGUCGCAAGACUAAAUCUCAAAU